UCCGAUAUGGUGUAGUGGCUAACAUCAUCGCCUCUCAUGGCCUAAUAUAAUUACUGGCAGAAUAUUGGCUGCGCAAUAGCCCGGGGUUCGAUUCCCUGUGUUGGAA